UACGGAGGGUGCAAGCGUUAUCCGGAUUCACUGGGUUUAAAGGGAGCGUAGGUGGGGUGGUAAGUCAGUGGUGAAAUCUCCGGGCUUAACUCGGAAACUGCCGUUGAUACUAUCAUUCUUGAAUAUUGUGGAGGUCAGCGGAAUAUGUCAUGUAGCGGUGAAAUGCUUAGAUAUGACAUAGAACACCAAUUGCGAAGGCAGCUGGCUACACAUAUAUUGACACUGAGGCACGAAAGCGUGGGGAUCAAACAGG
rnacentral:rRNA from 1 species